CUGAACGCUGGCGUGCGUGGCUAAGACAUGCAAGUCGCACGGGACCCGCAAGGGUUCAGUGGCGAACGGGUGAGUAAUGUAUCGCUAAUGUGCCCCGGACUCUGGGAUAAGCUGCCCGAAUAAGGGCAGGUAAUACCAGAUGAUAUACCUUUGUCGCAUGGCAGAGGUCUCAAAGGUCCGCCGGUCUGGGGAGCAGAGCGAUAUGCGUAUCAGGUAGUUGGUGAGUAGGUAACUGGCUUCACCAAGCCGACGACGCGUAGCUGGUCUGAGAGGACGGCCAGCCACAUCGGGACUGAGACACUGCCCGGACUCCUACGGGGGCUGCUGCAGUAACGAAUCUUCCACAAUGCACGAAAGUGUGAUGGAGGCGACGACACGCGUGUGGGACGAAGUCCUUCGGGAUGUAAACCACUGUCAGGGGUAAGAAAGUUCUGAUCUACCCCAGAGGAAGAGACGGCUAACUCUGUGCCAGCAGCCGCGGUAAUACAGAGGUCUCGAGCGUUAGGCGGGAAUCACUGGGGCUUAAAGCGCGUGUAGGCGGAUCGUUAAGUGCCUUGUGAAAUCCCACGGCUUAACCGUGGAACUGCUUGGCAUACUGGCGGUCUUGAGCCAUCUAGGGGCCUGCGGAACAAACGGUGGAGCGGGUGAAAUGCGUAGAUAUCGUUUGGAACGCCAAUGGUGAAAACAGCAGGCUGGGGAUGUGCUGACGCUGAGACUGCGAAAGCCAGGGGAGGCGAACGGGAUUAGAUACCCCGGUAGUCCUGGCCAGUAAACGAUGUCCACUAGAUCGUAGCACCUUUGACGGUGUUAUGGUCGAAGCAAAAGUGCUAAGUGGACCGCCUGGGAAGUACGGGUCGCACAGGCUAAAACUCAAAGAAAUUGACGGGGGCUCACACAAGCGGUGGAGCAUGUGGUUCAAUUCGAAGCAACGCGCAGAACCUUACCUGGGCUUGACAUGCUAGGAUUAUCUCGGUGAAAGUCGAGUAGGCCCCGCAAGGGGUACAACUAGUACAGGUGCUGCAUGGCUGUCGUCAGCUCGUGUCGUGAGAUGUCGGGUUAAGUCCCUUAACGAGCGAAACCUUUGCCCUUAGUUACCAGCGGGUUAUGCCGGGGACUCUAAGGGGACUGCCGGGUGUCAAAUCGGAGGAAGGUGGGAGAUGACGUCAAGUCCUCAUGGCCUUUAUGCCCAGGGCCACACACGUGCUAACAAUGGGAUGCACAAAGCGAACCAAGACCGCAAGGUGGUGGAAAUCGCAGAAAAUCAUCCCCCAGUUCAGAUCGGAGGGCUGUGCAACUCGCCGUCCGUGAAGUUUGGAAUCGCUAGUAAUCGCGGAUCAGCUACGCCGCGGUGAAUGUGUUCCUGAGCCUUGUACACACCAACCGCCCGUCAAGUCAUGGGAGCCGGGAAUGGCCGAAGUGGCCGCACUACAGCGGUCCGCCUACGCCAGGACUCGGUGACUGGGACU
rnacentral:rRNA from 1 species